rnacentral:rRNA from 1 species
GAUGAACGCUGGCGGCGUGCUUAACACAUGCAAGUCGAACGGAAAGGCCCAAGCUUGCUUGGGUACUCGAGUGGCGAACGGGUGAGUAACACGUGGGUGAUCUGCCCUGCACUUCGGGAUAAGCCUGGGAAACUGGGUCUAAUACCGGAUAGGACGAUGGUUUGGAUGCCAUUGUGGAAAGUUUUUUCGGUGUGGGAUGAGCUCGCGGCCUAUCAGCUUGUUGGUGGGGUAAUGGCCUACCAAGGCGUCGACGGGUAGCCGGCCUGAGAGGGUGUACGGCCACAGUGGGACUGAGAUACGGCCCAGACUCCUACGGGAGGCAGCAGGGGGGAAUAUUGCACAAUGGGCGCAAGCCUGAUGCAGCGACGCCGCGUGGGGGAUGACGGCCUUCGGGUUGUAAACUCCUUUCGCUAGGGACGAAGCGUUUUUGUGACGGUACCUGGAGAAGAAGCACCGGCUAACUACGUG